AUGACAGCAGCGGUGCUCCACUGAAUGUGUCACGCAGGCGUCAGAAGAGGUGCACAGAGCAGAGGGCUCCCACGAACGAGGAGAUGGCGCAUUUGAACCACACGACUCCCCACAUUUCACCCCCAAACAGCAAUCCUGAAUUCCUGGUUACUAUUUACUCAUCCCUUUGCUCUGCUCACACUCGUUGGAUGCAUAGUGGCGGUGGUUUGUUAUAUCAGAAGGAGAUCGAGCCUUGAUGAGCUGCGCCACCGGCUGAUUCCUAUGUACACCUACGACCCUGCAGAGGAACAGGACGAGUGGGGAAACGCUGGCAGGGACAAUGAGGAGGAGGAGCUAACCGAACCUUUGUACAAAGAUGACAGCUCUCCUUUACCACUGACUACGGAACAUGAACAGAAGAUCAAGAAGAA